rnacentral:rRNA from 1 species
UAAGACGUAGGGGGCGAGCGUUGUCCGGAUUUAUUGGGCGUAAAGCGCGCGCAGGCGGCCCGGUCAGUCGGAUGUGAAAACACGAGGCUCAACCUCGUGCCUGCAUUCGAUACUGCCGGGCUCGAGGCAGGUAGGGGAGAUCGGAAUUCCCGGUGUAGCGGUGAAAUGCGCAGAUAUCGGGAGGAACACCGGUGGCGAAGGCGGAUCUCUGGGCCUGUCCUGACGCUCAGGCGCGAAAGCUGGGGGAGCAAACAGGAUUAGAUACCCUGGUAGUCCCAGCCGUAAACGUUGGGUGCUAGGUGUGGGGAGCAUCAACCCUCUCCGUGCCGUCGCUAACGCAUUAAGCACCCCGCCUGGGGAGUACGGCCGCAAGGCUA